GCUGACCAGCUAGCCCACCCAAACAAAAACAACAACCCAAUAUAAAUAACCCCAAACACACUACUCCUCCUAUAAACAAACCAUUUUACCCCCCUAGUAUGGGCGACAGAAAAGGAACUAUUGGAGCGAUAGAGAAAGUACCGCAAGGGAACGCUGAAAGAGAAAUGAAAUAACCCAGUAAAGCCUAAAAAAGCAGAGAUUUUACCUCGUACCUUUUGCAUCAUGAUUUAGCUAGUACUACCCAAGCAAAGAGAACUUUAGUUUGGACCCCCGAAACUAGGUGAGCUACUCCAAGACAGCCUAUCAAUAGGGCAAACCCGUCUCUGUGGCAAAAGAGUGGGAAGAGCUUUGAGUAGAGGUGACAGACCUACCGAACCUAGUUAUAGCUGGUUGCCUGAGAAUUGGAUAGGAGUUCAGCCUCCAGGCUUCUCUAUUCACCGCGGUCUUACCCCUACCGAUGCACUAAAGAAGCCUAGAGAGUUAAUCAAAGGGGGUACAGCCCCUUUGAGACAAGAUACAACUUUUCCAGGAGGGUAAAGAUCAUAUUUACCCAAGGUAACAAUGCCCAGGUGGGCCUAAAAGCAGCCAUCCUUACAGAAAGCGUUAAAGCUCAAGCAUUACACCUUCCCACAUAUUCAGAUAACCAUAUCCCAACCCCCUAAUAUUAUCAGGCCAUCUCAUGCAUACAUGAGAGUGCACAUGCUAAUAUGAGUAACAAGAGAGCCUCCGCCUCUCUCCUUGCACACGUGUAAAUCGGAACGAACCCCCACCGAAACUUAACGGCCCCAAACAAAGAGGGCAAUGAACAACAAGUAAGCAACCAGAAAACCAUCCAAAAAACAACCGUUAACCCCACACUGGUGUGCCAUUAAGGAAAGACUAAAAGAAAAAGAAGGAACUCGGCAAACAUACCAAGCCUCGCCUGUUUACCAAAAACAUCGCCUCUUGCAAAAACAAAGAAUAAGAGGUCCAGCCUGCCCUGUGACUAUAUGUUUAACGGCCGCGGUAUUUUAACCGUGCGAAGGUAGCGCAAUCACUUGUCUUUUAAAUGGAGACCUGUAUGAAUGGCAUUACGAGGGCUUAACUGUCUCCUUUUUCUAGUCAGUGAAAUUGAUCUCCCCGUGCAGAAGCGGGGAUAUAACCAUAAGACGAGAAGACCCUAUGGAGCUUUAGACACCAAGGCAUAUCAUGUCAAACACCCCUAAACAAAGGACUAAACCAAAUGAAUCAUACCCCCAUGUCUUUGGUUGGGGCGACCGCGGGGAAAUAAAAAACCCCCACGUGGAAUGGGAGUACUACCUCCUACAACCAAGAGCUGCAGCUCUAAAAAACAGAAUAUCUGACCAAUAAGAUCCGGCAACGCCGAUCAACGGACCGAGUUACCCUAGGGAUAACAGCGCAAUCCCCUUUUAGAGCCCAUAUCGACAAGGGGGUUUACGACCUCGAUGUUGGAUCAGGACAUCCUAAUGGUGCAGCCGCUGUUAAGGGUUCGUUUGUUCAACGAUUAAAGUCCUACGUGAUCUGAGUUCAGACCGGAGUAAUCCAGGUCAGUUUCUAUCUAUGAUAUGUUCUUUUCUAGUACGAAAGGACCGAAAAGAAGAGGCCAAUGCUAAAAGCACGCCUCACCCCUCCUAUUGAAAACAACUAAAAUAGGCAAAAGGGCAUACCCCUCCACGCCCAAGAUAAUGGCAU
rnacentral:rRNA from 1 species